UUUAAUCGAACACCAUUAGAAUUUUAUAAUCAGUUAGAAUUUACACAAAUUUUGCACUUGUAGGAUUUGGAUUUACAUUCGUCGAGGCAUCGGUUUUCAUUUGGAUAACAUAUUGGGGUUUUUAGGUUGACUGACUCAUUCGGAUAACAAGCUCAAGAAAUAGGAGAUGAAAAAUAUUGUUUCCAUGCGUCAUGGGGACACUCCCCCAGCCCCCAAGCUAUUUCCAUCCCAAAUCUUCUUAUCCACAGGUAACGGGCAAUUUUUUGAUUUCCAUAAUUUUUUGUCUCCACAUGCGAUCUUUACUUGUUGAGCUCAAAUUUCGUGAUGUACAUGUCCCUACUUUUUAUAGCUAUAUUCAAUCUUCACGUUGUGAUAUUCUUUCACAGUUCAUGGUUUGUGAGAUUAUUUGUGUUUGCUUUUUUUCUGGGCAAGUGCAAUUAUAUCCUUUCUCAUUAUUGGUCACAGAGAUAACUCUUCAGACAGCACAAUUCUUUCAUCCUACCACUUGUUUGAUUUAAUUUCUGAGAGGAAAUAGAUGUCAUGACAUGCUGAUAAAUGAAUCUCAAGUUGCAUAAGAAGAUGGCCCUAUUGAUUUAGAACAUAGAAUCAGCAGGUGUUUUUGUUGCCAAAACAAGAAAUGAACUAGAAAUAAGAGGUAGAAACAACUUUUGCCAAUACUAAUGACCAGGACUCCACUUUCUUUUACAGGACAACAAACAAUGCUGCUAAUGCUGCCUAGGUAUGCACCUCUUGUUCCUGUACUAUGGAAAUUUAUGAAGCAAUGCCACGAGAAUCAGAAGUGAUCAGCCUUGUCUGGGCAUUUAACAUAUCUGCCGGCAGAUGCACCUAGCUGGCUAUUACCUUUGUCAGUUUUCUGCCCUGUAUAUAAGCAUAUGCUUACGAUAGUUGUUAAUGGGGAGUUCUACGAGCAAGAGAAGCCACUGUCUUUAAAAGUUAUCAAAUGCUUGAUUGUUAUCUUUAAGGCAGGUAAUAUUUGUAGUUGUAGAAUCUUUAGGUCAAUGUAUUUCAGAGAAAAUGGCUCUCUACAGUAUUUGAUAGUCCUUUCCCCUUUUAGGUCACUAUAUAUCAUGGCAAGGUGAAAAAGAAAGCAUUGUACUAUUGUUAUUUCUCAUCUGAGGAGUUUUUGACCUAUACUGUUGAUCAUUUGUUGGUAGUAUAUCACCAGUGAAGUUUACAUUAUGCUCAGUGGCCUUUUUAUUUCCUGACGGGCUAUAAAGAUGGAUGUCCAGUUGCCAUUUAACAUUUUGGUUGCUCAUUUCUGUAGGCCUUAUGGCAGCUCCUGUGGUUGAAUCCUGUUGCUUCCCCAAAUGUAUCCAAGUCUACUGUUGAUGUCUUUUCUCUUAAGAGGCACCCCUUGAAUUUAUUCAGCAUAGAGUUAGCAUUGUAGCUUCCAAUCUUCUAUCACAGGUAAGGAGUUGGAGUUGCUUUUUGACAGUUUACCAAGAUGGAGUUGAAGACUUUUUGGUAGAUAAAUGGAACACUUGUUUUGAGUUCUUUUUGUCAUUGGACACACCAUGGAUAUGGAUGUUUUGUAGUUUCGGUAAUGCUGUUAAGUUUGAAGUGGUCAUUGUUGUAGGAUGAAUGUUUUGAAAGGUUGUAAAGUUGGAUGAUGAAUGUUUGACUUAUUGGAUAUUUAAUUUGAAUGAUAUUUU